CGUCGAUUAUGGUGCGAAGAAAAUCCCCAAAUUAUUCUUGAACAAUCAUUACAUUCUCCUAAUUGACAGUUUGGUGUGGUUUUUGCUCUGGUCAUGUGAAUUUCUUGCGAAAUGAUGCUUGUGACACCGUUAUUGGAAGAAGUUGAUCUUGACAACAUCUAGUUCCAAGAAGGAAGAGCGACAUGCCACAAAGCACCUGCAACAACCGAAUUAUUGCGAGAAAAGUUUGGAGAUUCUAUUAUUUCAAGAAAUUGUGAGAUUGAAUGGAGCCAUUGACUUUAGCAAUUUGGAGUUUCCUUCAACCUCUUCAAUCAAAUUCAAAUAAAGCUUACGGGUCAGCACAGUUUCUCAGGACAGUAACGUUAAUGAUUACGCAAAUUAUGUAAUACAAACAUAUUGCAUUCGAUUUGGUAAUUAGUAGUAUCCCUGCAAGACGGAGGUAGCAGAUUGCACAAACACAUUGGAACAUUUCCAGCUGUUCGCCACAUUCUGCAAUUUUCAAUUGAAUGGGAGAUAGCGUAAGUAAAAGAUAGAAAAACUAUCGACAUUCAAGUUUAUCGAAACAUUAAUAUGUCAAAAGAGAAAGAAGCGAUACUCAAGUUUUCAAGAAGAAGAAUUAAUUGCAGAAGCAGGGAAAACGCAGUUUUAUUGUUAAUUUUGACGUUUCAAUGGAUAGAAAACAAGACGAAUCUUUUCUAACUAAAACUUUCUUCAUUGCAUAUUAACAAGCAGAGAAAGUCUCGUAAAUGUGUACGUUGCGUGCGAAUAUAAUCCGUGCUAAAUUUUAUGAGGAUAUCUUGUAAGAUAAAUAAGUUUUCUAUACAAGAAAUUGAUUUCGAUUUCGAAUUUGUUAUCCGUUCUAUAAAUUGACUUUAUAGUCGAUGAUGAAGCCUCACAGCUAUGCUCGCUCUUAGAGGAUUCCUAUUCAAUGGAAAAUGGUAUGGUAAAAGACACCAAAAUUCUGCUAACAGGACAUCCCUCCUACAUAUCUACUAAAGAAUCGAGCAAAAAUUACUGAAGUAAGUUUACUAAAAAUGACUGGACAUUGCGGGCCGUAGUAUCACACGUUAUCUGUUUACGGUUAGUAGCCUUAGUACAUACAUAUUUGCAGCUGCUUGGUGGUUAUACGUUUAAUCAAACAGAUUCCUUGCAUGAUGAAAGGGAAGCUUUGCUCUAUCGCCUAUGACAUCGAGAUGGAAUAGCUAGUAGCGUUGGAAAUGACUAUGGUUGUGCGAUAUAAGUUUUGAAGCGCUCUUCCAACCGCAUUUAAUAAACGUUGGAGGACAAGGCAUCGCAGGAUUAGUGUUUAAAACCAUACAAACAGCCAAUAUCGAUAUACGACCGGAAUUGUACAAUCAUAUCAUGUCAUCUGGUGAUUAGUGUGUCCAAAUAUGAUGUGGAUAAAUUAGCGAAAUUUAAAAUUCAUCUUGAAGAUCCGCUAUCGUGAUGAGCGAUAUUUCACCACCGCACAGUGGUCGGUCUUGUAUGGGAUCAGCGGCCAAAAAUACUUCCACUGCAUAUAUAAAAGUGAAACUUUUGCCAAAGCUUUUUAAAAUCUCCCUCUCACGUUUCCCACUCUGCCACUCCCCGAUGGUAACAAAUUUUAAUUAAUUAUAUUAAAUUAAAAGAUUUG